AGGUAAGCUACUAAGAGCGAAUGGUGGAUGCCUUGACUGGUAAAGGCGAUGAAGGACGUACUAGACUGCGAUAAGCUACGGGGAGCUGUCAAGAAGCUUUGAUCCGUAGAUUUCCGAAUGGGGCAACCCAAUGUAUAGAGAUAUACAUUACCUAUAUAGGAGCGAACGAGGGGAAUUGAAACAUCUUAGUACCCUCAGGAAAAGAAAUCAAUAGAGAUUGCGUCAGUAGCGGCGAGCGAAAGCGCAAGAGGGCAAACCCAGUGCUUGCACUGGGGGUUGUAGGACUGCAAUGUGCAAGAGCUGAGUUUAGCAGAACAUUCUGGAAAGUAUAGCCAUAGAGGGUGAUAGUCCCGUAUGCGAAAAACAAAGCUUAGCUAGCAGUAUCCUGAGUAGGGCGGGACACGAGGAAUCCUGUCUGAAUCCGGGUCGACCACGAUCCAACCCUAAAUACUAAUACCAGAUCGAUAGUGCACAAGUACCGUGAGGGAAAGGUGAAAAGAACUGAGGUGAUCAGAGUGAAAUAGAACCUGAAACCAUUUGCUUACAAUCAUUCAGAGCACUAUGUAGCAAUACAGUGUGAUGGACUGCCUUUUGCAUAAUGAGCCUGCGAGUUGUGGUGUCUGGCAAGGUUAAGCAAACGCGAAGCCGUAGCGAAAGCGAGUCUGAAUAGGGCGCUUAGUCAGAUGCUGCAGACCCGAAACGAAGUGAUCUAUCCAUGAGCAAGUUGAAGCUAGUGUAAGAACUAGUGGAGGACUGAACCCAUAGGCGUUGAAAAGCCCCGGGAUGACUUGUGGAUAGGGGUGAAAGGCCAAUCAAACUUCGUGAUAGCUGGUUCUCUCCGAAAUAUAUUUAGGUAUAGCGUUGUGUCGUAAUAUAAGGGGGUAGAGCACUGAAUGGGCUAGGGCAUACACCAAUGUACCAAACCCUAUCAAACUCCGAAUACCUUAUAUGUAAUCACAGCAGUCAGGCGGCGAGUGAUAAAAUCCGUCGUCAAGAGGGAAACAACCCAGACUACCAGCUAAGGUCCCUAAGUCUUACUUAAGUGGAAAACGAUGUGAAGUUACUUAAACAACCAGGAGGUUGGCUUAGAAGCAGCCAUCCUUUAAAGAAAGCGUAAUAGCUCACUGGUCUAGUGAUUUUGCGCGGAAAAUAUAACGGGGCUAAAGUAAGUACCGAAGCUGUAGACUUAGUUUACUAAGUGGUAGGAGAGCGUUCUAUUUGCGUCGAAGGUAUACCGGUAAGGAGUGCUGGAGCGAAUAGAAGUGAGCAUGCAGGCAUGAGUAGCGAUAAUUAAUGUGAGAAUCAUUAACGCCGUAAACCCAAGGUUUCCUACGCGAUGCUCGUCAUCGUAGGGUUAGUCGGGUCCUAAGUCGAGUCCGAAAGGGGUAGACGAUGGCAAAUUGGUUAAUAUUCCAAUACCAACAUUAGUGUGCGAUGGAAGGACGCUUAGGGCUAAGGGGGCUAGCGGAUGGAAGUGCUAGUCUAAGGUCGUAGGAGGUUAUACAGGCAAAUCCGUAUAACAAUACUCCGAGAACUGAAAGGCUUUUUGAAGUCUUCGGAUGGAUAGAAGAACCCCUGAUGCCGUCGAGCCAAGAAAAGUUUCUAAGUUUAGCUAAUGUUGCCCGUACCGUAAACCGACACAGGUGGGUGGGAUGAGUAUUCUAAGGCGCGUGGAAGAACUCUCUUUAAGGAACUCUGCAAAAUAGCACCGUAUCUUCGGUAUAAGGUGUGGUUAGCUUUGUAUUAGGAUUUACUCCGAAAGCAAGGAAACUUACAACAAAGAGUCCCUCCCGACUGUUUACCAAAAACACAGCACUCUGCUAACUCGUAAGAGGAUGUAUAGGGUGUGACGCCUGCCCGGUGCUCGAAGGUUAAUUGAUGGGGUUAGCAUUAGCGAAGCUCUUGAUCGAAGCCCGAGUAAACGGCGGCCGUAACUAUAACGGUCCUAAGGUAGCGAAAUUCCUUGUCGGUUAAAUACCGACCUGCAUGAAUGGCGUAACGAGAUGGGAGCUGUCUCAAAGAGGGAUCCAGUGAAAUUGUAGUGGAGGUGAAAAUUCCUCCUACCCGCGGCAAGACGGAAAGACCCCGUGGACCUUUACUACAGCUUGACACUGCUACUUGGAUAAGAAUGUGCAGGAUAGGUGGGAGGCUUUGAGUAUAUGACGCCAGUUGUAUAUGAGCCAUUGUUGAGAUACCACUCUUUCUUAUUUGGGUAGCUAACCAGCUUGAGUUAUCCUCAAGUGGGACAAUGUCUGGUGGGUAGUUUGACUGGGGCGGUCGCCUCCCAAAUAAUAACGGAGGCUUACAAAGGUU
rnacentral:rRNA from 1 species